rnacentral:lncRNA from 1 species
CUCCCCUGCUCUGUUUCCUCUCCUUCUCUUCCAACUGCAGCUGCCACUGCCGCAGCUGCCUCCCCUUCUCCUCUUCCUCUCUUCUUCCCUUUUCCUUUCUUUUCUUCUUCCUUUCCUUCUCUUCUUUCCCAGCUGCACUACUGCAGUCGCAGCCUCAGCCAUGGCUGCAGCCUCUUCUUCCUCCCCUACUCAUCUUCCUCUCCUUCUUCUCUUCCAACUGCAACUGCCAUCACCGUAGCCGCAGCCCCUUCUUCCCCUUCUCUUCUUCCUCUCCUUCCCUUCUUCCUUCCUCUUCCUCGUUCCCUGCCACAGCCGCAGCCGCAGCUACUUUCCCUUCUCCUCUUCCUUCUCCUUCCUUUCUUCUUCUUCUCUUCUUCUCCUUCCUCCCCUUCUUCUCCCCGACGAACAGCACCUCCUCUCCUCUGUUUCCUCCUGCAGGAAAUAGAGGUGUCGCCUCUUUACCCGCUUCUACUUCUUCUCUUCCUCUUCUUCUUCUUCUCCUUCUUCUCCUUCUUCUUCUCCUCUUCUUCCCUUCUCCUACCCGACACCCCACACCUUCUCACUGCAGCCCAUGCCGCAGCCAUCCUUCUUUUUUUUCUUUUUCUCUUCUUCUUUUUCUUCUUCUUCUUCUGUUGGGAAAAACCUGUUAAAGCGGAAUAUUCUUUUCCCUCUUUGUGUAUCAAAAUGAGUUUCUCAUCAAAAUACCAACUUGAUAUCUAAAUGAAAAUAUCAACCAGCAUAGCAUAAA